ACCCUUCAGACUCCUUGUCCCUCAGAUCUAAAUAUUGGUCUGAGUGGCUAAAAAAGAAGGAAAAGUAAAACUGACAUGGACUUGGAAUAUUUCAUAACUUACAAGUUCAUUUCAAACAUAG
rnacentral:snoRNA from 1 species